GUUAGGAAUAUUGGACAAUGGGCGCAAGCCUGAUCCAGCCAUGCCGCGUGAACGAUGAAGGCCUUCGGGUUGUAAAGUUCUUUAGCCGAUGAUUAUAAUGACUGUAGUCGGAAAAUAAGCCCCGGCUAACUUCGUGCCAGCAGCCGCGGUAAUACGAAGGGGGCGAGCGUUAUUCGGAAUCACUGGGCGUAAAGCGUGCGUAGGCGGUCUCGUAAGUUAGGAGUGAAAGCCCAGGGCUCAACCUUGGAAUUGCUCUUAAUACUGCAAGGCUAGAAUAUCGGAGAGGAUAGCGGAAUUUCCAGUGUAGCAGUGAAAUGCGUAGAUAUUGGAAGGAACACCAGUGGCGUAAGCGGCUAUCUGGACGAGUAUUGACGCUGAGGCACGAAAGCGUGGGGAUCAAACAGGAUUAGAUACCCUUGUAGUCC
rnacentral:rRNA from 1 species